AGGAUUCCCCUAGUAACUGCGAGUGAAGCGGGAAAAGCUCAAAUUUAAAAUCUGGCGGCUUUGGUCGUCCGAGUUGUAUUCUAGAGAAGCGUUUUCCGCGCUGGACCGUGUACAAGUCUCUUGGAACAGAGCGUCAUAGAGGGUGAGAAUCCCGUCUUUGACACGGACUACCAGUGCUUUGUGAUGCGCUCUCAAAGAGUCGAGUUGUUUGGGAAUGCAGCUCAAAAUGGGUGGUAAAUUCCAUCUAAAGCUAAAUAUUGGCGAGAGACCGAUAGCGAACAAGUACCGUGAGGGAAAGAUGAAAAGCACUUUGGAAAGAGAGUUAAACAGUACGUGAAAUUGCUGAAAGGGAAACGCUUGAAGUCAGUCGCGUUGGUUAGAACUCAACCAGGCUUGCUUGGUGCAUUUUCUAUUCAACGGGCCAGCAUCAGUUUUGACUGUAGGAAAAAGAUCAGAGAAAUGUGGCACCUUCGGGUGUGUUAUAGUCUUUGGUUGCAUACUAUGGUUGGGACUGAGGAUCUCAGCACGCAUCUGUUGUGCUUAGGAUGCUGGCGUAAUGGCUUUAAACGACCCGUCUUGAAACACGGACCAAGGAGUCUAACAAACCUGCGAGUGUUUGGGUGGUAAACCCGAGCGCGUAAUGAAAGUGAAAGUUGGGAUCCCUGUCGUGGGGAGCACCGACGCCCGGACCAGACCUUCUGUGACGGAUCUGCGGUAGAGCAUGUUUGUUGGGACCCGAAAGAUGGUGAACUAUGCCUGAAUAGGGUGAAGCCAGAGGAAACUCUGGUGGAGGCUCGUAGCGAUUCUGACGUGCAAAUCGAUCGUCAAAUUUGGGUAUAGGGGCGAAAGACUAAUCG
rnacentral:rRNA from 2 species